UACGAAGGGGGCUAGCGUUGCUCGGAAUCACUGGGCGUAAAGGGCGCGUAGGCGGCGUUUUAAGUCGGGGGUGAAAGCCUGUGGCUCAACCACAGAAUGGCCUUCGAUACUGGGACGCUUGAGUAUGGUAGAGGUUGGUGGAACUGCGAGUGUAGAGGUGAAAUUCGUAGAUAUUCGCAAGAACACCGGUGGCGAAGGCGGCCAACUGGACCAUUACUGACGCUGAGACGCGAAAGCGUGGGUAGCAAACAGG
rnacentral:rRNA from 1 species